AGAGUUUGAUCCUGGCUCAGAACGAACGCUGGCGGCGUGCUUAACACAUGCAAGUCGAACGCGAAAGUUUUCUUCGGAAAGCGAGUAGAGUGGCGCACGGGUGAGUAACGCGUAAAUAAUCUACCCCUGCAUCCGGGAUAACCCACCGAAAGGUGAGCUAAUACCGGAUACGUUCUUUUGAUCGCGAGAUUGGAAGAAGAAAGAUGGCCUCUGAUAUAAGCUACUGUGCGGGGAGGAGUUUGCGUACCAUUAGCUAGUUGGCAGGGUAAUGGCCUACCAAGGCAACGAUGGUUAGCGGGUCUGAGAGGAUGAUCCGCCACACUGGAACUGGAACACGGACCAGACUCCUACGGGAGGCAGCAGUGAGGAAUAUUGCGCAAUGGGGGCAACCCUGACGCAGCGACGCCGCGUGGAUGAUGAAGGCCUUCGGGUCGUAAAAUCCUGUCAGAUGGAAAGAAAUGUAUAUGUACUAAUACUAUGUAUGCUUGACGGUACCAUCAAAGGAAGCACCGGCUAACUCCGUGCCAGCAGCCGCGGUAAUACGGAGGGUGCAAGCGUUGUUCGGAAUUACUGGGCGUAAAGCGCGCGUAGGUGGUCUGUUAUGUCAGAUGUGAAAGUCCACGGCUCAACCGUGGAAGUGCAUUUGAAACUGGCAGACUUGAGUACUGGAGGGGGUAGUGGAAUUCCCGGUGUAGAGGUGAAAUUCGUAGAUAUCGGGAGGAAUACCGGUGGCGAAGGCGACUACCUGGCCAGAUACUGACACUGAGGUGCGAAAGCGUGGGGAGCAAACAGGAUUAGAUACCCUGGUAGUCCACGCCGUAAACGAUGUCAACUAGGUGUUGGGAUGGUUAAUCGUCUCAUUGCCGGAGCUAACGCAUUAAGUUGACCGCCUGGGGAGUACGGUCGCAAGAUUAAAACUCAAAGGAAUUGACGGG
rnacentral:rRNA from 1 species